rnacentral:tRNA from 1 species
UGUCUUAUAGUUAACAUUAUAACAUCAAACUGCAAUUUUGAAGUAAAUUAAGAUUUAAGGCUU